rnacentral:rRNA from 1 species
AAUCAACGCUGGCGGCGUGCCUCAGACAUGCAAGUCGAACGCGAAAGUCCCCUUCGGGGGACAAGUAGAGUGGCGCACGGGUGAGUAACACGUAGGUAAUCUACCUUCGGAUGGGGAAUAACAAUCGGAACGGUUGCUAAUACCGCAUAAUGCAGCGGCACCUAAUGGUGACAGUUGUUAAAGCGGGGGAUCGAAAGACCUCGCGUCUGAAGAGGAGCCUGCGGCGGAUUAGCUAGUUGGUAAGGUAAUGGCUUACCAAGGCUACGAUCCGUAACCGGCCUGAGAGGGCGGUCGGUCACACUGACACUGACAUACGGGUCAGACUCCUACGGGAGGCAGCAGUCGGGAAUUUUGGGCAAUGGGCGAAAGCCUGACCCAGCAACGCCGCGUGAAGGAUGAAAUCCCUCGGGAUGUAAACUUCGCAAGAACGGGAAGAAUAAGUAGGGACAAUACCCCCUAUGAUGACGGUACCGUUUGUAAGCUCCGGCUAACUCCGUGCCAGCAGCCGCCG